rnacentral:misc_RNA from 1 species
GUUAGUGUUGAAAAUGGCGCCGUUUGCACCACCGGAGGUAGGUGGGAUGAGUUAAACCCUGAGAUAUUGGCAUCGAUUUUCAUAAGGAUUGUUCCGCCGGAUCUGAUGGUGAGGUCGGUGGUGUUAGUUUGCCGGAAUUGGAUGGAGACGGUAUCUGGUCCUUCCUGCUGGAUGGAGAUUGAUCUGGAAAACUGGUGCCGGAAAUGCUGCAUUGCUAAGCGUCCCCACCUGAUUGACCUUGGUGUCAGCAAAGCUGUUCGGCGGAGCAGGUCCACAGUCCAGCGACUCACCACUUACCGUCUCGGCAUUGCUGGAUUCUCCGCCGCUGCUAGACGUGGAAGAUGUCUCAAGACACUG